GCCACACUGGGACUGAGACACGGCCCAGACUCCUACGGGAGGCAGCAGUGGGGAAUAUUGCACAAUGGGCGAAAGCCUGAUGCAGCGACGCCGCGUGAGGGAUGACGGCCUUCGGGUUGUAAACCUCUUUCAGCAGGGAAGAAGCGAAAGUGACGGUACCUGCAGAAGAAGCGCCGGCUAACUACGUGCCAGCAGCCGCGGUAAUACGUAGGGCGCGAGCGUUGUCCGGAAUUAUUGGGCGUAAAGAGCUCGUAGGCGGCUUGUCACGUCGGUUGUGAAAGCCCGGGGCUUAACCCCGGGUCUGCAGUCGAUACGGGCAGGCUAGAGUUCGGUAGGGGAGAUCGGAAUUCCUGGUGUAGCGGUGAAAUGCGCAGAUAUCAGGAGGAACACCGGUGGCGAAGGCGGAUCUCUGGGCCGAUACUGACGCUGAGGAGCGAAAGCGUGGGGAGCGAACAGGAUUAGAUACCCUGGUAGUCCACGCCGUAAACGGUGGGCACUAGGUGUGGGCAACAUUCCACGUUGUCCGUGCCGCAGCUAACGCAUUAAGUGC
rnacentral:rRNA from 1 species